GGCAUUGUGGCCGAGUGGCUAGGCUCAGCCCCGCAAGGGUUUAUACAGUGGUUCGAAUCCACUCGAUGCCU
rnacentral:tRNA from 1 species